GAGUUUGAUCCUGGCUCAGAAUGAACGUUGGCGGCGUGGAUUAGGCAUGCAAGUCGAGCGAGAAACCAAUUAGCUUGCUAAGAGGUGGACAGCGGCGAAAGGGAGAGUAACGCGUGGUUACGUGCCCUCGGGACCGGGAUAGUGUCGGGAAACUGGCAGUAAUACCGGAUAACAUCUUUGGAUCAAAUGGUGUGAUUCCGCCCGAGGAUCGGACCGCGUACUAUUAGCUUGUUGGCGGGGUAACGGCCCACCAAGGCUGCGAUGGUUACCGGGUGUGAGAGCAUGGCCCGGCUCACUGGGACUGAGACACUGCCCAGACAUCUACGGAUGGCUGCAGUCGAGAAUCUUCGGCAAUGGACGAAAGUCUGACCGAGCGGCGCCGCGUGCGGGAUGAAGGCCCUCGGGUUGCAAACCGCUGUCAGUUGGGAGGAAAUCCAUGGGGGUUAUCCCCUGUGGUUGACCGAGCUUCAGAGGAAGGACGGGCUAAGUUCGUGCCAGCAGCCGCGGUAACACGAACCGUCCAAACGUUAUUCGGUAUCACUGGGCUUAAAGCGAGCGUAGGCGGCUUGGUAGGUGAGAUGUGAAAUCCCACGGCUCAACCGUGGAAUUGCGUUUCAAACCCCCAAGCUCGAGGAAGAUAGGGGUGAUGGGAACUUAUGGUGGAGCGGUGAAAUGCGUUGAUAUCAUAGGGAACACCGGUGGCGAAAGCGCAUCACUGGAUCUUUUCUGACGCUGAGGCACGAAAGCUAGGGUAGCGAACGGGAUUAGAUACCCCGGUAGUCCUAGCUGUAAACGAUGAG
rnacentral:rRNA from 1 species